rnacentral:rRNA from 1 species
UCCGUAGGUGAACCUGCGGAAGGAUCAUUACCCUUCUAUCAGGGGAAGGGUGUCAGCGUUUGGGCUUAAGCUCCUCUGUUGGCCCCUUCCAGCUCUGAUUCUACCCAUGUUUUUUGCGUACUAUUUGUUUCCUUGGUGGGCUUGCCCACCAGUUGGACCAACCAAAACCACCUGUAGUUGCAGUCAGCGUCAGUAACAAUGUAAUUAUUACAACUUUCAACAACGGAUCUCUUGGUUCUGGCAUCGAUGAAGAACGCAGCGAAAUGCGAUAAGUAGUGUGAAUUGCAGAAUUCAGUGAAUCAUCGAAUCUUUGAACGCACAUUGCGCCCCUUGGUAUUCCAUGGGGCAUGCCUGUUCGAGCGUCAUUUGUACCCUCAAGCUUUGCUUGGUGUUGGGCGUAUGUUCUCUGCCUUUGGGUAGGAUAGACUCGCCUUGAAACAAUUGGUAACCAGCCUAUUGGCAGGGAGCGCAGCACAUCUUGCGCCCCUUGCCAUCAUCGUUGGCAUCCAUAAGACCUUUAAUUAGCUCUUGACCUCGGAUCAGGUAGGGAUACCGCUGAACUUAAGCAUAUCAAUAAGGCGGGAGGGGAAGGUCGGACUGGCCAAGGGCACACAGGGGGGGAUA